GAUGAAGAACGCAGCGAAAUGCGAUACGUAGUGUGAAUUGCAGAAUUCAGUGAAUCAUCGAAUCUUUGAACGCACAUUGCGCCCUUUGGUAUUCCAAAGGGCAUGCCUGUUCGAGCGUCAUUUGUACCCUCAAGCUUUGCUUGGUGUUGGGCGUCUUGUCUCCAGUUCGCUGGAGACUCGCCUUAAAGUAAUUGGCAGCCGGCCUACUGGUUUCGGAGCGCAGCACAAGUCGCGCUCUCUUCCAGCCAAGGUCAGCAUCCACAAAGCCUUUUUUCAACUUUUGACCUCGGAUCAGGUAGGGAUACCCGCUGAACUUAAGCAUAUCAAUAAGCGGAGGA
rnacentral:misc_RNA from 1 species